AUUGAACGCUGGCGGCAGGCCUAACACAUGCAAGUCGAGCGAGCGGCGGACGGGUGAGUAAUGUCUGGGAAACUGCCUGAUGGAGGGGGAUAACUACUGGAAACGGUAGCUAAUACCGCAUACCAUCAGAUGUGCCCAGAUUGGAUUAGCUAGUAGGUGGGGUAAUGGCUCACCUAGGCGACGAUCCCUAGCUGGUCUGAGAGGAUUACCAGCCACACUGGAACGGAGACAAGGUCCAGACGCCUACGGUAGGCAGCAGUGGGGAAUAUUGCACAAUGGGCGAAAUCCUGAUGCAGCCAUGCCGCGUGUAUGAAGAAGGCCUUAGGUUUGUAAAGUACUUUCAGCGGGUAGGCGUUACCCUCUGAAGAAGCACCGGCUAACUCCGUGCCAGCAGCCGCGGUAAUAC
rnacentral:rRNA from 1 species